rnacentral:lncRNA from 11 species
AGUUCACUGAUACACACCUCUCCUGGAAAUUGGGGCGGGGGGCGGAGAGACCUGCAAAGCAGUUUGAGGUGAAGCCUUGUGGGUUGUAUCAUGAUAUUUUUAGCCACCUUCAGUCCCUAUGGGAAGAAAGGCAGGACAGAAAUAAAGACAAUGGCACUAAGGAUAAUGGUUUGAUUGUUGAACAACAGCUGUGGAAACCAGAAUUUGAAUUCCCACAUAGCAAUGGAACCCUAAUGAAUGGACUUGGCCAGGCCACACUUUCAGCCUCAGAGGAAGGCAAGGGCAAACCCACUAUGAACAAAGCUUGCUAAGACAACCUUAUGCCAUAAGUCAGAAACACCUUGAAAGCAAACAACAACAACAACAACAAACAACAACAACAACAACAACAUCCCUGAAAGGAGCUAUUGUCAUAUACAGAGGGCCAGAAGUCCUAAAACAUCAUCAGUAUAUUAUAUGAAAUGGAACAAUAUUGAUAAAGGACUGGUAAAGAACAAAGUUUUUAUUACUUUGUGUAUCUUAUUUUCUUCUGACAUUUCCCAGGCUUUUUUAUUCUAUCUCUUUUAAAGGAAUUAAAUCUGUGCACAAACUUCUGUGGCAUUCAGCCAAGAUUGAAAAGGCACAAUAACAAUUUCAAGCUAUCAUUCUAUAUUAGCG